UACGAAGGGGGCUAGCGUUGUUCGGAAUUACUGGGCGUAAAGCGCGCGCAGGCGGCUAUCCAAGUCAGUGGUGAAAGCCCGGAGCUCAACUCCGGAACUGCCAUUGAAACUGUUUAGCUUGAGGACGAGAGAGGUGAGUGGAAUUCCCAGUGUAGAGGUGAAAUUCGUAGAUAUUGGGAAGAACACCGGUGGCGAAGGCGGCCAUCUGGACCGUAUCUGACGCUGAGGCGCGAAAGCGUGGGGAGCAAACAGG
rnacentral:rRNA from 1 species